UUGAAAGGUGGCUUCGGGCAAACG
rnacentral:siRNA from 1 species